GAUGAAUGCUGGCGGCGUGCCUAACACAUGCAAGUCGAGCGGCAGCGAGGGGUGCUUGCACCCUGUCGGCGAGCGGCGAACGGCUGAGUAACGCGUAGGAAUUUGCCCCAAAGUGAGGAAUAACUGCCCGAAAGGGUAGCUAAUGCCGCAUAUGGUCUUCGGAUUAAAGGAUUUAUCCGCUUUGGGAGAAGCCUGCGUUGGAUUAGGUUGUUGGUAGGGUAAUGGCCUACCAAGCCGACGAUCCAUAGCUGGUCUGUGAGGAUGAUCAGCCAGACUGGAACGGAGACACGGUCCAGACUCCUACGGGAGGCAGCAGUGAGGAAUCUUCCACAAUGGGCGAAAGCCUGAUGGAGCAACGCCGCGUGAAGGAUGAAGGCCUUCGGGUUGUAAACUUCUUUUAUGAGUGAAGAAUAUGACGGUAACUCAUGAAUAAGCACCGGCUAACUACGUG
rnacentral:rRNA from 1 species